UGCGAUACGUCACUUCACCGAAAU
rnacentral:miRNA from 1 species